AACGAGAGGAGAGGAAGCUUGCUUCUUCAGAAUCGAGUGGCAAACGGGUGAGUAACGCGUAAACAACCUGCCCCCGGGAUGGGGACAACAGCUGGAAACGGCUGCUAAUACCGAAUACGAUCAUACUGCCGCAUGGCAGCAUGAUGAAAGGAUGGCCUCUUAAAAAAGCUAUCGCACGGGGAGGGGUUUGCGUCUGAUUAGCUGGUUGGAGGGGUAACGGCCCACCAAGGCGAUGAUCAGUAGCCGGUCUGAGAGGACGAACGGCCACAUUGGAACUGAGACACGGUCCAGACUCCUACGGGAGGCAGCAGUGGGGAAUCUUCCGCAAUGGGCGAAAGCCUGACGGAGCAACGCCGCGUGAGUGAAGACGGCCUUCGGGUUGUAAAGCUCUGUUAUAUGGGACGAACGGCUGUGGGGCCAAUACCCCCGCAGCGUGACGGUACUG
rnacentral:rRNA from 1 species